CCCUUCGGUUCGGAAUAGCUCAGGGAAACUUGAAUUAAUACCGGAUACGGCCGGGAGGCGAAAGAUUUAUCGCCGAAGGAUUGGCCCGCGUUCGAUUAGCUAGUUGGUGAGGUAACGGCUCACCAAGGCGACGAUCGAUAGCUGGUCUGAGAGGAUGAUCAGCCACAUUGGGACUGAGACACGGCCCAAACUCCUACGGGAGGCAGCAGUGGGGAAUAUUGGACAAUGGGCGCAAGCCUGAUCCAGCCAUGCCGCGUGAGUGAUGACGGCCUUAGGGUUGUAAAGCUCUUUCGCUAGGGACGAUAAUGACGGUACCUAGACAAGAAGCCCCGGCUAACUUCGUGCCAGCAGCCGCGGUAAUACGAAGGGGGCUAGCGUUGUUCGGAAUUACUGGGCGUAAAGCGCGUGUAGGCGGGCUUUUAAGUCAGGGGUGAAAUGCCAAGGCUCAACCUUGGAACUGCCUUUGAUACUGGAAGUCUUGAGUCCGGGAGAGGUGAGUGGAACUGCGAGUGUAGAGGUGAAAUUCGUAGAUAUUCGCAAGAACACCAGUGGCGAAGGCGGCUCACUGGCCCGGAACUGACGCUGAGACGCGAAAGCGGGGGAGCAAACAGGAUUAGAUACCCUGGUAGUCCACGCUGUAAACGAUGGAUGCUAGCCGUUGGGGAGCUUGCUCUUCAGUGGCGCAGCUAACGCUUUAAGCAUCCCGCCUGGGGAGUACGGUCGCA
rnacentral:rRNA from 1 species